rnacentral:rRNA from 1 species
AUUGAACGCUGGCGGCAUGCCUUACACAUGCAAGUCGAACGGCAGCACGGGAGCAAUCCUGGUGGCGAGUGGCGAACGGGUGAGUAAUAUAUCGGAACGUGCCCGGUCGUGGGGGAUAACGUAGCGAAAGCUACGCUAAUACCGCAUACGAUCUACGGAUGAAAGCGGGGGAUCGCAAGACCUCGCGCGAUUGGAGCGGCCGAUAUCAGAUUAGGUAGUUGGUGAGGUAAAGGCUCACCAAGCCGACGAUCUGUAGCUGGUCUGAGAGGACGACCAGCCACACUGGGACUGAGACACGGCCCAGACUCCUACGGGAGGCAGCAGUGGGGAAUUUUGGACAAUGGGCGCAAGCCUGAUCCAGCAAUGCCGCGUGCAGGAUGAAGGCCUUCGGGUUGUAAACUGCUUUUGUACGGAACGAAACGGUGAGCUCUAAUACAGUUUGCUAAUGACGGUACCGUAAGAAUAAGCACCGGCUAACCACGUG